AGAGUUUGAUCCUGGCUCAGAAUCAACGCUGGCGGCGUGCCUAACACAUGCAAGUCGCACGAGAAAGGGGAGCAAUCCCUGAGUAAAGUGGCGCACGGGUGAGUAACACGUGAAUUAUCUACCUCCGAGUGGGGAAUAACUGAGAGAAAUCUUAGCUAAUACCGCAUAACACUUACGAGUCAAAGCAGCAAUGCGCUUGGAGAGGAGUUCGCGGCGGAUUAGUUAGUUGGCAGGGUAAUGGCCUACCAAGACGAUGAUCUGUAUCCGGCCUGAGAGGGCGCACGGACACACUGGAACUGAAACACGGUCCAGACUCCUACGGGAGGCAGCAGUGGGGAAUUUUGCGCAAUGGGGGAAACCCUGACGCAGCAACGCCGCGUGGAGGAUGAAAUCCCUUGGGAUGUAAACUCCUUUCGAUAGGGAAGAUAAUGACGGUACCUAUAGAAGAAGCCCCGGCUAACUUCGUGCCAGCAGCCGCGGUAAUACGAGGGGGGCAAGCGUUGUUCGGAAUUAUUGGGCGUAAAGGGUGCGUAGGCGGUUUGACAAGUCUGAUGUGAAAUCUCUGGGCUCAACCCAGAGUCUGCAUCGGAAACUGUCGGGCUUGAGUAUGGGAGAGGUGAGUGGAAUUUCCGGUGUAGCGGUGAAAUGCGUAGAUAUCGGAAGGAACACCUGUGGCGAAAGCGGCUCACUGGACCAUAACUGACGCUGAUGCACGAAAGCUAGGGGAGCAAACAGGAUUAGAUACCCCAGUAGUCC
rnacentral:rRNA from 1 species